rnacentral:rRNA from 1 species
GACAGAGGGUGCAAACGUUGCUCGGAAUUACUGGGUGUAAAGCGCGUGUAGGUGGAUUGGUGUGUCAGAUGUGAAAUCCCUGGGCUCAACCCAGGAACUGCACCUGAAACUACCAGUCUUGAGUGGUGGAGAGGGAAGUGGAAUUCCUGGUGUAGAGGUGAAAUUCGUAGAUAUCAGGAGGAACACCGAGUGGACGAGGCGGCUUCCUGGACACUAACUGACGCUGAGACGCGAAAGCGUGGGGAGCAAACAGG